rnacentral:rRNA from 1 species
AUUGAACGCUGGCGGCAUGCCUUACACAUGCAAGUCGAACGGUAACAGGUCUUCGGAUGCUGACGAGUGGCGAACGGGUGAGUAAUACAUCGGAACGUGCCUAGUAGUGGGGGAUAACUACUCGAAAGAGUGGCUAAUACCGCAUGAGAUCUACGGAUGAAAGCAGGGGAUCGAAAGACCUUGUGCUACUAGAGCGGCAGAUGGCAGAUUAGGUAGUUGGUGGGAUAAAAGCUUACCAAGCCGACGAUCUGUAGCUGGUCUGAGAGGACGAUCAGCCACACUGGGACUGAGACACGGCCCAGACUCCUACGGGAGGCAGCAGUGGGGAAUUUUGGACAAUGGGCGAAAGCCUGAUCCAGCAAUGCCGCGUGCAGGAUGAAGGCCUUCGGGUUGUAAACUGCUUUUGUACGGAACGAAAAGCCCUGGGUUAAUACCCUGGGGUCAUGACGGUACCGUAAGAAUAAGCACCGGCUAACUACGUGCCAGCAGCCGCCGUAACAC